ACAGUGUUACUCAUAGCAACAAUCAUAGGACAAACAAAACAGAUUUUUUAUUUUAUUGUUUUUUUAUUAGGCAUAUAUUUGUACAUGCUCAUCUCUUUACCCUAACUGGUUUCAAAUCGCAAAAUUAAAAUUAAAAAGUAAUAUAAUGUAAAUGUAAAAAAUUCAGAGAAAACAAGUAAAAAUCAAGUUUUCUUCUUCUAUUAAGAACUUAACGAGGAGUAAAUUGUAUUAUGAACAAAAAAUUUAAAAAAAAACACUCAACUACAUAAAACCUGUCAUUAAAAAAAAAAAAUAUAUAUAUAUAAAAGUAAGAUAAAAUACUUGAUUGUAAGUCUAUGUACAAAAAUUAUGUUCUCUAGGCAAUUAUAAAAAGUGCAAAAAUGUUCAAAAUAUCUUUUACACAGUUGUGACCGAUAGUUGAAUAUUAGACAUCUGUCAUAAUGAAUAUUAAAAGUGAAUUCCGCAAAAAAAAAAAAAAAUGUAUAGUAUUAGUAGCUGUUUAACUUCCCAUAAAAUCGAUAAAAUAUACAAUAUAUAUUAUU